AUUGAACGCUGGCGGCAUGCUUUACACAUGCAAGUCGAACGGUAACAGGCCGCAAGGUGCUGACGAGUGGCGAACGGGUAAGUAAUGCAUCGGAACGUGCCCAGUCGUGGGGGAUAACGCAGCGAAAGCUGCGCUAAUACCGCAUACGAUCUAUGGAUGAAAGCGGGGGACCGAAAGGCCUCGCGCGAUUGGAGCGGCCGAUGUCAGAUUAGGUAGUUGGUGGGGUAAAGGCUCACCAAGCCAACGAUCUGUAGCUGGUCUGAGAGGACGACCAGCCACACUGGGACUGAGACACGGCCCAGACUCCUACGGGAGGCAGCAGUGGGGAAUUUUGGACAAUGGGCGCAAGCCUGAUCCAGCAAUGCCGCGUGCAGGAAGAAGGCCUUCGGGUUGUAAACUGCUUUUGUACGGAACGAAAAGGCUCUGGUUAAUACCUGGGGCUCAUGACGGUACCGUAAGAAUAAGCACCGGCUAACUACGUGCCAGCCGCCGCGGUAAUAC
rnacentral:rRNA from 1 species